rnacentral:lncRNA from 1 species
UGUCGUCUGCUGUUGGUUGUUGUGCUUUGCAUGUCCUAAGAGGAUAGUAAUAUUAGCAGCAACUUAUUGACGACCAAUAACUUAGAAGAAGCAGAUUAUUGUGAGUCUAUGAGUAAUAGAUGGGCUGGUAACACAUAUGCUUGCUAUGUAACCAUGUACAAGACAAUUAUCGAUCGAUCCAUUAAAUAUUGAUUUCAUAAUCUGGAACAACAGUUCUUCAACAAUCAGUAUAUAUCAGGAAAAACAUAGGAACAAUACACUUCCUACCAAAACAUAUGUGCCCUCUAAAAUCAGAGUCAAUAUGGACAAACAUAGUAAUUAUGUGAAAAUCUCGAUCCUGACUAACAGAGGAGUAUUUUAAGAUUUUUCUGUAAUACAUCAUGAUCCUUUAAAUCGCAACUUGUAAUGAUUUUAGUACAUUAGAGUAAGGCCCAGGCAAUCCCAAUCUUUAGUGCUUACGCAUUCUGUAUAUCAUCUAGUGGUUUCGCAAGUAUUGGUGACAGUGCAGCUAGCCCACAAAAACAUGACAGCAAUCUUCAGGUCACAAAGAAGCUAUUCUAUUUCUUUUUACAAACGUACACAAGAGGAUCGACUACUUUGGCUCUUAUCUACCGGCUUCUUUUUUCUCUAAGGACAGAAGAAAAGACUACUGGUCAGCUGAAUCAUGACCACCUUUAGAUUCGUGUAAUUAUAGGAUCGACUACUUUGGUUCUAUAUUAUCUACCAGCUUCUUUCUUCUCUGAACACAGAAGAAAAACCUACUGGUCAGCUGAAUCAUCACCACCUUCAGAUUCGUGUAAAUAUACCCAGGAGCACCAACAAACAAAAUUAUAUUCAAAUUCCAUGACAGGUAAAAGUACCUAGUUAUGAUGCAUACGGCUUGCCAACAAACUAACAGGUGCUUCAGAUUUUUCUAACUAUGUGAGUACCCCCUAGUUCAGUCAUGGAGUAUAUUCAUUUCAUUUCAGUGCAUACAUUUCAUUUCAUUUCAUUUCAGUGUACAACAACAGAAAAGGAGCAAAGCAACCAGCAAUGGAGAAGAGGCACUGACCGUGGACAAGGGAGGAGAGGCUGCCGUUGGGGUAGUAGUCGCUCCUCCUCUGCCUGCUCCACGUCGACGGCCACACGCCCAAGCCUCGACGCCAUCUUUGUACUUCCCUUGGCGGCUACAAAACUGGCUAGUAACAUGAAAACACAUAGCAGCCCCAAGCACUAAAUUAGCCUUGUAAGACAGCAAAUAAACAAAGCAAAUAAUAGAUCAAAUUAACCACGCAAAGCACAACAGCAAUAAUAAUCAAACAAUUCGUACAUCAUACAUAGAAGCCACAUUUUACAUAGGAAUGCACCUUCCUGACAGCACAUCCAUAAGUCGAGUGACAACUACCAUUUUCUAGAGAUCGUAUCUGCCAUGCAAUUGGUUUGCUUGGUAGCCACUGUAACACAAAAUGAGCAUCCAGAACAACGGUCCUAGGUUCUACCAGAAACAAUACAAGAAACCAAAAGCAUAUGCCACACUCCACUGAAGGCAAUGCACCACGUAGUAGACCGACACAGACAACAACCUUGGCAGAGAAAACUACAUGGCAGUUCUCGAUGGGAGGGGGAUCACCACAUCGUAGGUGGUGUGGCUUGCCGAGCGUUUCCUGCAAAUAGGUGGGCAACCAUAUAUGAGAACUCCAGCACAUGGAAGGGAAGAAAAGGAGGUCAUGUAAACAUCUGAAAGUUGCAUGGUGAGACAUUUCUUAGUAAACAUUGUCUUUCAAAACAACCUGGUAGAAAAGCUAAGAUACAAGGGCAAUUUCUAUUUUUUGUGAAGCUUACUUGUCCUCUCAAAUGCAUAGGUAGAAAAAUAGAUCAACCUCAACAUUUAAUAGAACUCAACAGAACAACCAACAACUAAAUAUCUGCUUAUCAUAUAAUUACAAACUGGAAACUGGGAACAAACACGGCAUGCAAAAAAAUCUAGCACCUAAGAAAGGCACUUUGAUUUCACUGAAUUGCAACCAUGAUAAGCACAGAGCCUCCUUUUUUCUAACCAGCCGUGUGAUUUGUUUAACCCUUAAAGUUAAAUGACCAAACAGGGAUUAAUAAGAACAUGCCACAUUCUUGCUCAUGAUUCAUGAAAAAGGCACUAUCUACACUACCAAUUUAAAGAAAUAAACUUGCAUCAGUUGGGAAACAACGAAUGUGUAUAGUCCAGUGCAGAAGAUAUUACUUGCAAACAAAAAACAUGCAGAAGAAAAAAAAAUACAGCCAAUAAAUGUAUUGCGUGUAACUAAACAGAAUUUAGUAAAACAAAGUUGGUUUUCAGACAGCGCAAUGUUAGUAUCAUCUCCAAGCAAUAUCAUAGUAUGAGAGAGUACCUGUAGGUUGUAGAGUACCACAAGCGAACUGUGCCAUCCUCUGAGCCAGUAAUUAUAGUAGGUAGUUCUGGAUGGAAACAGACAACGGACACAUUGUGUGCAUGUCCUUCAAGUGUUUGAACACAGCUCUUGGUUUGGUAAUCCCAAACCUGAUCCAAAAAAUUAAGUAAUAAGUCAGAUCAAUCCCAAUAUACCCUCACAAUAGCACAAUUCAUCGUAGAAGACACACCUUUGCAGUCUGAUCAUCAGAUCCAGUAAUUAAAAAUGGUCGAUCACCACUGGUGAAGUAAUCAGCACAGUUCAUGAUUAAAAAAAUGAUGUCAUACGAACCCACUGUCUCCCCGAUACUACAACCACUACAGAUUAUUAAUGAGGAAAUUAGAAAAGGCAGGGAUGGGGAUCUGCUAUACUUGGGGUGUGCAGAGGCAGCAGAGGCGGAGCUCCUUCCUGUGUGUGUGCCGAAUCUCCUCGUCCAAGGCCAACGGCAGCGAGCUCGCCAACCAAACCCUGGGUUAGGGCCACGGGAGGUGGAGGCGAGGCAUGCCAGCCGGGAUUUUUAAAGGGAACAUAGAGCAGCAUAAGCAUGAGGCAUAGAAAAAAUGGGGUCACCUUAAGGUCAAGAAUCAAUGGCCCUCUCUCAGUUCAAAUCAGAAGGAAAGAAAUACUAUUAUUGAUUAGAGUUAUUCUUAAUUAGGCAAAGCACUACAACACGGGAUCCUAAGCUACAGUUGAGGCAUACAAAACUAUAAGUGACUGUUCUUUUCAUAUAUAAACAACCUUUAGUAUCUCAACCAGAACCAAAGCAAAAAAAAUCAUGGUUAAGUAACCAGCAAAGGAAGAAUGAACCUUUUGGAUUUUUAAAGUAGCAAGACAUGAAAAGUUCUUUUUUGCCUUCAGUAUCACACACAGUAGGGGAGGUAGCUGCAGUUUUAUUGCACAGUGGGCUCAAAUUCACCUUUCCUCGAUCAUAUAACCUAACCCCAUCAUCUCUUAUCACCAGAUCAAUUUGUUUAUACAGUAGAGCUGCCCUGGUUAUCACUCAACAAGAAUGACCAUACAAGGACAACAACAAGUAUCUCAGGAUAAAAAAGGAUUCUAGAGACAAGGGGGAGGAUCCAACUUGAUACCCACAGGUGCCUCGACUGCUCAAAGGCACACUUAUUUCAGCGACGGUUAAUCAUCAUCGCCCUAGCAAGAAUGGCUUCCAACCGAUGGGGCACGUGAUUAACACGCGGUGGCACGCGUUUUGGACUACUAUUCAUUGCGACAGUUCCAAGGAUCGGAUCCGAUGGCGUAGGUCAUCCAGCGACUCGAUCCGACGGCCCAGAUCCGAUCACGCAACCAGAUCCAACGGCCCAGAAUCCAAAUCGCUGUGAGAGCUUGUAGGAACAUUCAUCUCUUAUUUCUGGAUGGAUGGAUCACCAGAUCAAUAUGUUAACUGCCCUGGUUAUCACUCAUCAGAAAUGACCAUCUAGGGACAGAGCCACUAAAAUAAGAACGUGAUCAAAACGGCUCAAAGAAAUGAGGGAGGAUCCAAAAUAAUAUCCACAAGUGCCUCGAUUGCUCGAGAGCAUGCCUAUAUCAGCCAUAACUGAUCAUCAUAGCCCUAGCCAUGUCCCAUUCAGUAGCCGAAGCAGGGCAGGGGAAAAUGGAGCUCACCGAGGGAGGUUGUAGCCGAGGCAGUACUCAGUGGGCGCCGGGGUUGCGCCUGAACACCAUCCAACUGGCGAGGAACCAUGUCGGAGUUGCGCCUUGCACCGUCCUGCCGACAAGCACGAACACCACUGGCACCGAAGCGGCCAAGGAGGCGAUGUGUAGCACAUCUAGGAGCACCAUCAGGGGCCUAGUCAGUUCUCUUUUAGCUGCAAUCAAGGAUAAGAUUUGUUAGAACAUUCUUGUGGCCAAAACUUAUCAUCAUGCAAGCGAUGGGCCUAUCUAUUAGCUGCUUGUAGUGCCGAAGGUAAAAUUAGAAGGCCUUUUACUGCCACCUUGCAUGAAGAAUUUCUAUUCACACAUGUGUACUGCUAUAUGAACCUGCACAUGCUAACUAAUUAAACAACAAAAGCUACUAAGAUGUGAACUGACUUUUCUCUAAGCAAGACUCUAGACACACCAAGAAGCACAGAUAAAUAAUCCCUGCUGGGCAGAAUACAUAGUCUAAUACGGUGUAACACUGACUAAGCCUGGGUUUGUGAACAGAGAUAAAUUAUAAAACAAUAUGGUAGGCCAGAAGGAGAGACCAGAAAGCUAUAUAGAGCACAUGCCCAAAGAAACUAAAAUCGAGCAUUGCAUUGACUGAAUAGGUAGCAAAGACGCAACCAAGUCGCAUAAUUGACUUGUUUCUAUUACUAAUUGCUUUUUAUCGCAACUCUAAAUAUAUGGUUGUAACUACAUAGUUAUAACCUAACUUACAUGACAAAAAUAGAACAUGGAUCUAUGAUUCUCCAAGGAGUAAUUAAUUUCCCUAAAAACAAUAAUUAAUAGUUCAAUAGUAGCUGAACUGAUAGCCAUUUUUCCUGGCGAUAUAUGGAUCAAUCAAUAGAGGGGUGUCAGGACUCACCGAUUGAGGAUGUAAGCGGGUAAAAGGGACGACCUCGCCUCAGCAGGGCUUAAUCGCAACCAGAAUAACAUUUUGUCAGUUUUUUUAGUAAUAUAUUAAUGUUUGGUUAAUGGGGCACCAAAGGAAUCUCCUAUAUGAUUUAGUGAUUAAAGAAUAAUAUUAAAUGAUGAAUCUUCCGUUGGUUCGCAAAGUAUGCAAUUUUUCUCUCAACUGAAAUGGGAACAACAUUUUGUUAGCAAUAUUUGGUUAAUGGAGCACCAACAAAUCUUCUAGAGUAUUUCAUUUUGAGGUUAAAGGGAAUAAGAAUAAAGGAUGUAAAAUAACCAGUGACACAUUAACUCUAACUGCACACUUGGCAAAGAAAUACAUUAGGUGAUUAAUGAUUAUCUGUAGCUAAAUCUUAUCUUAAGUACAACCAAGAUGAACAGAAACAUCUCACCUCACUUUUGGUGAAAACACUUUUCUCUGAUUGCUCAUUCCGUGACACCAUGGUCCGCUUAACGGAUCGCAAAUCGAUCUGCAACCACAUAAGCAAUCAUUUGCAUUAGAACAAGAGGAAUGCAAUGUUUGAUCUUUCAUAUAGUACUACCGAUCCUAGAGCAACACUAAAUAGGAGAUUAGUAACACAUAUCACUGUCCCGGCAAGAAGCAGAUCUCCCGGCAGUAACACCCAUCACUCUCCCGGUAGAAGUUGACUCUUCUUCAGAUUGUUGACCAUAUUCAUUAUUCACAAUAACAAAGUACAACUCCAAAUCUGAGAGCGCCGAUAAUGCUGAGCAUAGAAAAGUUUCUGUAGUUACCAUUAAUGUAAUCAGCGAGUACCAACUAUUGCUUGAUGCAUAUAUAAAAAAUCAGAAGGUUGUCUAUGUAGAUUUCUUCCUACCCAACUUUCCUUUAUCAGCAAGGAGUAACUGUUAUUUUUUCGUAUAUAAACAAUAAGCAGAUGGCCUAAUGGACUAUGUAACCUAUAGAUUAAUUAUGCAAGAAGUUACCAUUCCUAUAAUUAGCAAGCAUCAAUCAUUGCUUGGUGCAUCUAUAAACAAUGAGGAUGCGGUCUAAUUCUGGAACACAGAUUAAUUAUUUGUGUAGUCAGACUUCCUUUGUUAGGAAGCAGCAACUACUACCCGCUGCACAUAUUUCUCCCAAAUCACUAACCUGAACAGGCAUUGCAAUGCAUUGAAAACUGGGCACACCCUACAGACAUGGAUAUGAACCAAAAUGCAUAAUCUAGUUACCAAAUUCAAUAAUAAGCUUGAGUUCUGAAUGUAAGAUUACACAGAAACAUCCUGGGCAGAUAUUUGAACAAAAGAACCUAAGACAGAUUGUUGUUAAUAUAAUACGAUUGACACCCCUGAAUUGCAUUAUCAACUGUAUGAGUACAGAUUAAUUACCCCUGAAUAUAACCAAAAGUGGCAGAAGCUAUCUAGUUGGACAUUUUUCAGAACAGACCAGCACAGACCCAGCUUGUUGCAAAUAGAAUAGUAUAGUAAUUUUCUUAUGUAUAAUCAUACUACUAUCACUACAGCAUGUCAGCAUCACAAACCAAACCAAACCAAUUCACUGAUUUCCAUGUAAAAUAGCAUCAGUAGUACAGACAUGUAUGCACAAUAAUGUUUUUCUUUAUGUUUGCAAUGCAUGGUGUGUUAUCAAUAGCUUCUCUCACCAGUAGGUAACAACCACCUCCAGCUGAAAUUCCAUCACAUGUCAUGCCAUAAAUUGAAAAUCCAGCACAUAUAUCCGAUGAUAACACCUACAGAUUAUGUGCGGAUGCAAAACACCACGAUGGCAGCCCCAAUAAAAGGUACGUGCAGGAGGAGGGGAGAGGAGAAGAUCUCCAACCUCGAGUCGGCACACGAGCUGGGAUGGUGUUGGUGUGUAGGUUGCAUGCUGACCGAGAUCUCCUCUUCGUCCCGCAGUCUCCCUCUAUGCUUCCUCCUCGUCCU